ACGCUCGACACCUACAGGAGGCAGCAGUGGGGAAUAUUGCACAAUGGGGGAAACCCUGAUGCAGCGACGCCGCGUGAGCGAAGAAGUAUUUCGGUAUGUAAAGCUCUAUCAGCAGGGAAGAAACUGACGGUACCUGACUAAGAAGCACCGGCUAAAUACGUGCUAGCAGCCGCGGUAAUCUGAGCGGGCUGGCAAGGC
rnacentral:rRNA from 1 species